UGGCGGACGGGUGAGUAAUGUCUGGGAAACUGCCCGAUGGAGGGGGAUAACUACUGGAAACGGUAGCUAAUACCGCAUAACGUCGCAAGACCAAAGAGGGGGACCUUCGGGCCUCUUGCCAUCGGAUGUGCCCAGAUGGGAUUAGCCAGUAGGUGGGGUAACGGCUCACCUAGGCGACGAUCCCUAGCUGGUCUGAGAGGAUGACCAGCCACACUGGAACUGAGACACGGUCCAGACUCCUACGGGAGGCAGCAUG
rnacentral:rRNA from 1 species